ACCAGGGUAGCCUAGUGGACAUGGCAUCUGCCCGGUAAGCGGAACAAUGUGGGUUCGAUUCCCAUCCCUGGAC